rnacentral:rRNA from 1 species
UAGGGAAUCUUCGGCAAUGGACGAAAGUCUGACCGAGCAACGCCGCGUGAGUGAAGAAGGUUUUCGGAUCGUAAAACUCUGUUGUUAGAGAAGAACAAGGACGUUAGUAACUGAACGUCCCCUGACGGUAUCUAACCAGAAAGCCACGGCUAACUACGUGCCAGCAGCCGCGGUAAUACGUAGGUGGCAAGCGUUGUCCGGAUUUAUUGGGCGUAAAGCGAGCGCAGGCGGUUUCUUAAGUCUGAUGUGAAAGCCCCCGGCUCAACCGGGGAGGGUCAUUGGAAACUGGGAGACUUGAGUGCAGAAGAGGAGAGUGGAAUUCCAUGUGUAGCGGUGAAAUGCGUAGAUAUAUGGAGGAACACCAGUGGCGAAGGCGGCUCUCUGAUCUGUAACUGACGCUGAGGCUCGAAAGCGUGGGGAGCGAACAGG